UUACACAAAACCAAAACAAAGAAUACUACAUGAACAAAUGUACACUAAUAUAAACACAAUAUCACAUAAAAAAAAGAAAAGUAAUGAAAAAAAAUCCCAUUCGUAUAUUGACCAGUGCAAUUGUACUAGUUAGUUUGAUUGUUGCUAUUUUUAUGGUUGUAGUUGUUGUUGUUGCGGCAUGUAAAAUGUCGUCUUUAAUUUUCAUACAAAACACUCUUCUCCAUCGUGUAGAAUACACUUAAAAGCUCAAUAAAAGUUUCGCGCACUGAUUUUACAGAUCAACUGAGCUUUUUGUAUUUUUAUUCAUUUAAAGUAGAAAUAUUAUACAAAAAAAAAAGUUAUUUCGAUUCCAAUAAAGUGUGCUAAUUACGUCAUUCGUAAGAUUUGCACUUUUAACUAUUAAACGAAUUAAAAAUCGGAUAAAAAAAUUCUUUAAAAUUCACUCAUAAAAAGCACUUAGUGAUUGGUAACUUUUUCGCAGCUCACUUAUAUAUGUCGAGUAUAUGUUUGUACAUGUACACUUCGUUGUUAUACUUUUGCAAUUGAUUAGACAAUUAUGUUAUUAUGACACAGAGUCUAAAAACAUUACGUUUAGUUUACCAGCGUGUUAGUUUGUUCGUUUAUUUUAAUAUGAGAAACGAUUCAAUGGUAUUCAAUUAAAUUUUAAAUUUUCUGAUAUUUAUUAUCAUAUCAUUGUACUUAAUCAAAUUUCCCGUGCGAUAAAAAUUUAUAUUGUAAAGGCGUGAUUAGAUUCGCGCAAUAAAAUAAAAAUAAAAACUAAACAAAUAUAUGAAACGCAAUUGAGAAGGAACAGCCCAGUUAAAUGCUACCGUCAUACUGAAGCACACAAAAUACGACUUUGAAAGCUCGUUUUCUCCACUAAGAGCUCAGUACCUCAGUAGCUCAGUAAAUUGUUCAUAUUGUUCUGAAACGCAUACAAUUUUUAUUCUCAAGUUUUUACUUAACUAAGAUCUCAAAAGCAAUGAUAAUCCAAUUAGUGGUUGAGCUUUUAUUUCCUAAGCUCGUGAAUGAAAAUGUAAAACGAAAUAUAAAAUGAGUUUUUUUUAAAUGGCACAAAAUGUUUAACACACGGUUUUAUGCACAGUGAAAACUGCUCAAGAAACAAAAAACUCUUCAUUUACUAUUAAAGUAAUUAAGGGUUACAAGAACGUCCGAGUGGGUCUACGUUCGAAGGCAUUCAUCGAAUUCAACGAGCCAGUGCCGUUCACAACACUCAAAACGGACUACACAAGUACGUCCUUGUGGGCUACUACAAUAACAAAAAUACAAAAAAAACACUUCUGGCAUAAAGUCAACACAGUCACAGUUUCUUUGUCCUAGUCGUGUUUACACUACGGAUUUUGGUAAUGUCUCUGAUUUUGAGUAAUUGUCUCCACUACGCUAUAUAACGUGAUUAUCAAAAUUUACGCUUUUUAGUUGCAAAUUUUUACAUUGAUUACACAAAUAACUGUGACUGAAGCUAUUUUUGCGUAAUAGACUACAGAUUAAUUUUUGUUUACGUAAUUAAUAUUAAAUGUUGCAACUUUAAACCGAUAUAUUCUAAUCUUUAUUUUAAAGCAUUAUUUGAAUCAUUUCAUUUAUGAAGUCAACUCCCUCACUUUCGUCGCGCACUCAGUCAGUGGUUAGCUUAGCUCAAAUACUUAUUUAUAUUAAAACAAACAACCA